rnacentral:tRNA from 1 species
UCCCUGUUAGCUCAGCUGGUAAAGAAUCCGUCUGUAAUGCAGGAGACCCAGGUUCAAUUCCUGGGUUGGGAA